rnacentral:rRNA from 1 species
UGGGGAAUAUUGGACAAUGGGCGAAAGCCUGAUCCAGCCAUGCCGCGUGCAGGAUGAAGGCCUUCGGGUUGUAAACUGCUUUUGUACGGAACGAAAAGACUCUGGUUAAUACCUGGGGUCCAUGACGGUACCGUAAGAAUAAGCACCGGCUAACUACGUGCCAGCAGCCGCGGUAAUACGUAGGGUGCAAGCGUUAAUCGGAAUUACUGGGCGUAAAGCGUGCGCAGGCGGUUAUAUAAGACAGAUGUGAAAUCCCCGGGCUCAACCUGGGAACUGCAUUUGUGACUGUAUAGCUAGAGUACGGCAGAGGGGGAUGGAAUUCCGCGUGUAGCAGUGAAAUGCGUAGAUAUGCGGAGGAACACCGAUGGCGAAGGCAAUCCCCUGGGCCUGUACUGACGCUCAUGCACGAGAGCGUGGGGAGCAAACAGGAUUAGAUACCCUGGUAGUCCACGCCCUAAACGAUGUCAACUGGUUGUUGGGUCUUCACUGACUCAGUAACGAAGCUAACGCGUGAAGUUGACCGCCUGGGGAGUACGGCCGCAAGGUUG